rnacentral:tRNA from 1 species
UGUAAAGCAGUAUUUGAUGUACGUUAGAUUUUGAAUUUUUUAGAAUAAAGUUAUUUUUCUUUACAA